ACAAUGGGAAUGUGUCUCAGGAUCAGGUCGAGGAUAAUGACCAGGAGAUCCGCCGCUGCCAUGGCCCCCAGGUAUCUGUGUUAGCUGGCUGGAUACAGAAUUGGCUGGCCAACAGAAGACAGUGAGUGGUAGUGGAAGGAAAAUAUUCUGCCCGGAAGUCUGUGGGACAUAUAAAAAAUAUCUUCAAAUCGACCAAGACCAUUUUCUG